rfam:Penicillium expansum strain MD-8 contig44, whole genome shotgun sequence.
GUGAGUUUGGCCGAGUUGGUCUAAGGCGCCAGGUGAGUCAUCAACUGUCACUUCAAUUCUUAAUUGAAUCCCCACUAAUCAUAUCAUAGACUCAAGAGAACUUCCUCUUGCACUGUUUCAGUGUGUAUUCUGGUCUCGAAAGAGGCGCGGGUUCGAAUCCCACAGCUCACA